UUCUUAUCAAGAGAGGUAGAGGGAUUGGCCCUAUGAUACCCGGCAACCUGAGUAAGUUUAUUCAACGGUGCUAAUUCCAGCAGGUAUAUACCUGAAAGAUGAGAG
rfam:Clostridium tyrobutyricum DIVETGP, WGS project CBXI01000000 data, contig: NODE_5